rnacentral:lncRNA from 1 species
GCUUUUGGUGGCUGUGGAUUUCUGCACAGAAGCGGUCCUUGAAGCAUCCCUUGGACAGGACUGCAAAAGGUGACUAAACAGUUUAGUGCUGUGCUGGCUAUGCUGCUUCUGCAGAUGUUGGAGAGAAAUCCUUGGCUACGGAGAAGUGGAGAGCUUGCAAUGCACUGAGAAGAUCUUGUCUGAGCACUUGGAUACCCUUGGUCUGGAAGAAUGCAAAAUAUCUUUGUCCUUCAAUAAUGCAUUUUUGAGGCGGGAAGUAGGAUGAGCUUUUGUUCAUCUUGCUGCCAGGUGAUGAGCUUUGCACACCAGACAGACUUGGUGCCAUCACUCCUACAGCUUCCAGUUAUGAGUGCUUUCUGAGCCCUGUGUGAAUUCCAGCAGGAUGCAGGCUCAAAUUUUGCAUCUCAGCAACCAAGAUGUAUGGCUAAUAAAUCCUGAUUGCAGACGAAGAGUGCUUAAGAUCAGGAAUCUCAGCCCACAGGAUGAACUGAGAAGUGGAAGACAGAGAUGGUGGCUGAAGUCUGCCAAGAUUCAGAGGAGUGCAGCAGCGUGCCAGAUCCUCGCUGGAUUUGAGCAUAUCAGCCUGAGAGUCUGCCGCCUACCAUUACCAAGAUACUUAUGGUCUUUCUUCAUCUACAAGAUGGAUCAAAUGAAUAUUUCACAGAUAGUGGAUGAGAUUCCUAGAACUACAGUGAAGUACUCAAAUUAUGACAAGGUAAUCCAUAACAGGAUUGGGCUAAGAAAACAUUUAAUUCCACGUGUAGUCCCAGACAUGUUCAUUAGUCAUUAUGGAAGACUACACAAGUUGUUCUUUGGACUUAAAAUACUCUCCUUUUCUUAGAUUUUUGUUUGUUUGUUUUGGUUUGUUCUAACUAACCUCAGGAAGGUUAGCUACAGCUUUGAUUAAAAGUAUUGAGAAAUAACAGACUAUGUAAUCAUCCAACUCUAUAUUUCUAUGAUGUAUGUGUAAUCUACAGUAUUUUUUUUCAGUUGCCGUAGAGCUUUGCAACUACAAGUUAAUUAUUAAACUAGUUAUUUUCCCAGGGCAGUAAUGACCUAAUCAUUUAUGAUAGUGCUCAAAUGAGAAAUUAAACAAACAUAUCCAAAAUAAACAGAGAUCAAAUUGUCUUUGCCA